rnacentral:lncRNA from 1 species
CCUGAAUGAGGGACUCUUCACUUCUGAUAAGAGUCCAACUUUUAAGUUCUGGUUGUGUUCCAGUCCUUCGGUUCCAUGGAAGGAGAGAUCUUUGGCCCUAUGGUCAUUUCAGAAUUUCUUCAGGGACUUCGGAUUGAGGCUCUUCUUCAAAUCUACCAGUGCUGCUUGGAAGGCACAGGCUUGAUCUGGGAGGACUUUAUAUCAAUUCUUUCUGGUGAAAAAGCCACUUGGGCAUUUAGUUUUCUUGGUAUAUCUGAUCCCAGCAAUGGGAUAGGGCACUCAGGCAUAUAUAGAAAGCUGUGCUUUAGAUACAUUUUCCCUACGUAAUACUCAAGUAGUUUUAGGAGAAGUUCAUGAGCGACUUCCCCAGAUACCCCAGUAAUGGAUGUGGUCUUGGAGAGAGGGGCUCCUGUUUGGUGUUUAGUACAGAAUAAGUAGCUCUGGUGGGUCAAUUAGAAAGUCUAUCAGUUUCUGUCCCACUACUAUUGUCACUCAGGGAUCCUUGUGGGAAAUAUCGAUGGAGCUAAUGGAGUUUAAAAGAACCCCUGGGCCCCAUCAUUCUUGGUUGCUGUCAGCAAAUUGGGAUAUCUAGUGGUUAGGUACAUUGGUUUCCUCUCUCAACUUCUGAGAAUGUUUGGGACAUUCCUUUUUCCAAUGGCCUUUGUGCUUACAGUAAGCACAUUGUCUUGGCCCCAGAGCUGAAUUUCCCUUGUUACUGGAAGGUGGGGGCCCUAUGGGUCUUAUCCAUAGCAGUCUAUCUUUUCUCGUUGGCCUUGGUGGAUUGUGGCUGCGGGCUGCAGCGAACAGAGUUGCUUGCUUUCACAUUUCCCACUGUUUUUGAUUCUCUUGUUCUUGGUCAUGGCUGUUAAACACUUUAAAAGCAAUCUCCACCAGCUGUGAGAUGUGUAUCCCUAAUCCCCCUUCUAAUUUUUGCAGGUUUUUCCUUAUAUCAGGGGAACUCUGGCUGAUAAAGCUCAUAUUGAUCAAAUUCAUGUUAUCCAUAUUCUCUGGGUCCAUAUCAGUAUACUUUCUGUAGGCUUCAAAGACUCUCUCUAGAAAGAUUGAAGGAUUUCCCUCUGGCCUUUGUUGUACCUCCUGGACCUUAUUUAAACUCUUCAGUUUUGGGACCCCCUUUUGCAUUCCAGUUGUUAAACAUGCUUUAUAAUGCUUUAACCUUGCCCAACCACUGGGGUCAUUGGGACCGCAACCUGGGUUGACUCCAGGUAGAGUCUCCACCACUGGAGCCCUGACUGGAUUGUUAGGUUGUAACACAUGGAGUCUCUCAGCCUCCUGAUGAGUUUUGUCCAAUACCAUGCUAUACUCUUCUGGGCUGAGGAGGGUGUUCAUAAGGGACUGAAUGUCAGCCCAGUUAGCGUCAUGAGUAGCAAAGAUGAACAUUAAUAAACUCUCCAUUUAGGGGGAUAAACUCAAGAAGUAGGCAUGUUGUUUUUCCUGUUGUAUAAGUCUGAAGUUGAAAAUGGAGUACGCACACACAAAACUCCUCUGAGCUGGGCUUGGUCAUGGAGACCUGCAGGGACUUGUCUUAGUGAGAAUUGCCCUGCCUGGCAUGAAUGGUUUCUUGGGCCAAAUUGAGUACCUCAAUGGGUUUGAGGAGGGGAGACCAUUCCUGUCUGAUUAUUAAGUAAAGGGACGUAUAAAGCCAAGCCAGAGGCUUCUGGGGGCUCAUUAUGCCCUUCCUGGUUAUCUCCAACUGCACCUCUGGCAUACGAUGGAGGUGCUGUAGGAGACAGCAAAGAUGGAAAGACAAGGUCAUAAUCUCACUUUGAUUCUAGGAGAACAGGUUUUUUCUGUGGAUCUUCCCUCUGAAUCAUGGUCUUACAUCUCUUUUCCAAAUUCUUAUUCUGAUAUAAAGACAUCAAAAAUUGCAUAUAAGGGAUCUUGUCUCAUUUAUUUUCUCUUUUAUAGAUCUAAUUGCAAGAUGGUAUUGUAGUUCAGAAACCCGUCCUAGGGCCAUAACUCAUCUGACCCCAGUGAGUAUUGGGGCGACCUUGUACUACAAAAGAAAGUCAUUUUCUUUUUCUUCAUAGGCUUAUAACUGAACUCUGCCCAAUUUUGAAGAAUGCAUCCUAGUGAGCUACACAUUGGUAUAUCAUUUUUAGUUCCCAUUUUAGGGGAGCUUUUAUCAAGGUGGCUGCAACAAACAAGGUUUCUCUAAGGGAAGGUGUUUAAGGUCUGAUAGUGUACUUGUGGGAACAGCUCCUCCAAGAAUAACCAAGGGGUUGGCUCUUUCACUUACAUGUUCUGGAACCCAUAAAUUUCAGGUGAUUUGAGCCCCAGAAGAGCUGUCACUGACAGUCGCCUCACCACGAACAAUGAGGGCCCAAAGACAUAUGUUCUCAGAAGGGGGUAGCUAUGAGGUCAUUGUACACCAUGGGCAGAUAACUCUGACACCUCUGUAAAGUCUCCAGUCACCUGGGAAUGUCCCAAAGAACUGGAAGGAACAGUGCUUCUUUUCUUCAGAGUCAGAGAACCUCAUGAGGUUAAUUUCUAAGAGGAGUUUGUUAUGGUCACAGAGAAACUCAGUUCUCAAAUAGUCAACUCAAUUCAGACAAACAUUAACGCACAAUACAAUUCUACACAUAACAUAGACCAGAAUACUAGCUAGUUUGCCAGGAGUAGCUCAGAAGCAGUGCCAGGAGGUACCUGAAAACUGAUGGCCUGGGGCAACUCAGACCCAGUGCCAGGAGUUGCACAGAUGCAGAAGCAACUUCAUGAUCGAACCUAUUAUCCUGCCUCUAAUUCCUUUGAGUGGUUCAUGCCCAAGGUUUAGGACUCAGCCAGCCAGGAUUCUCCAGAAUAUGAGCUAAACAUCUAUUUCUAGGAAAUCAAACCAGAGAGAUAAGGUAAAGGACAGUCACUUUCUUAAAAUUACUCACCCAGAGCCCAAACAUGUCUUGAGCCAGAAACUGUUUCUUCCCUCAAAAAGAAAAAGAAAAACAGUAGUGCCUUGGGGCCUACAGUGUCACAGUAGAAGUAUGAGUCCGAUCAGCAGAGUGUCUAGACAAAAUUGUUUAGGCAGCUGCUUAGGGUUGAUGAAAAGACCCCAUGCCCCAUGGGAGGAUCCAGAGCAUCAGGCAGGCAGGAACAGGUGCUCGUCCCUUUGUGGUUGCCAAUUUGUUACUGCACAAAAUUGGGGUUCUCUUGCCCAAUGCAUAUCAAAAAACAUUAAUUAUGACACAUGCUUUUUGGGGAGAAAUCAGCUUUAUUCUGUGAAAUCAAUCAGCAGGAAGACAGGGGCAUGUGCCUUCAGAUAUGUGUCCCCAAUUCAGGAUUUGGGUGAAAUUUAAGAGGUUAAGGAGAACAAGCUGGUAGGCAGAAAUGUUGGUGGGACAGGUUUUGAUUGGUGGGCUUCAAACAUUUAUGGUAAGGUUCUAAACAUAUAGGACAGAGUUCUGAACAUUUAUGAUAGGGUUCUAAACAUUUAUGAUAGCGUGGGGAAGGAAUUUUAACACCAGAUCUUCCUGAAUGAGGAACCCCUCACUUCUGAUAAGAGCCUGACUUUUAGGUUCCAGUCGUGUCCAGGUCCUUUGUUUCCAGGAGAGGAGGAUCUUUGUUCUCAUGGUCAUCUCAGGUCAAGAUUUCUUCUUCUGAGUGUGCUCUGGCUAUGUGACUUUGCAGAUUUUCUGAAAGACAGUCCUUAAUCACUUUGUUGAUAAGAGAUGGGGUCUGUUUGAACUGGCUCUAAAUGGGCCUGUGGUUACAUCUGUACUUCAUUCCUUUCCAUGGCUGGAUAAUCCUCCAUUAUAUGGACAGAGCACAUUUUGUUUACGUAUUCAUCUGUUGAUGAACGUUUGAAUUGUUUCCAUCUUUUGGCUGUUAUAAAUAAUGCUGCUGGGAACACUCACCUACAAGUUUUUGUGUGGACAUGUAUUUUUAUUUCUCUUGGAUUUAUACCUUGGUUGGAAUUGCUCUGUCACAGUAAAUCUGUGUUUAAUCUCUUGAGGAACUGCCGGACUGUUUUUCAAAGCAGCAGCACCAUUUUACUGUGCCAUUUUACUUAUUCUCAACAGGAGUGUAUGAGGCUUCCAAUUUCUCCACAUUCUGGUCAACACUUGUUAUUAUUUGACUUUUUAAUUCUAGUCAUCCUACUGGAUGUUAAGUGAUAUAGCAUUACGGUUUUGAUUAGCAUUUCCCUGAUGACUAAUAAUGUGAAGCAUCUGUUCCUGUGCUUAUUGACCAUUUGUAUAUCUUUGUAGAAAUUUUUAUUCAGACACUUUGCCCAUUUUAACAAAUUGUCAUAUUUGUGCAUAAGAAAAGUAAUGCAUAUUUGUGUUGGGGAAGACAGAGAGAUGGAAAAUUGGAAUAAUAAUACUAAAAGAAUAAUUCUAGCUAUAUGCUAAAUAAUUCUGUUUUGAAUAUCUAUUGCUCCUUAAAGCACUAACCCAAAAGUCAGUGAUACAAAUGAACAAUUUUAUUAUGCUCCCAGAUUCUGUGAGUCAGGAAUUCAGCCAGGGCACAGUGGGAUGGCUUGUCUUUGCUCCAAAAUGUCUGGGGAUUGAACUUCGAAUACUCCAACAACUGAAUAUGACUCAAAUGACAAGGACUGGUAUCACCAAAAACAUUCUUUACUCACAUGGACUGGGAUGAUUCCAAGUCUGGGCUCAGUUGGAAUGGUUGACCAGAUUGCCUCCUGGUGGCAUCUUCCUGUGGCUUGGGUUUCCUCACAGCAGGCUGGUCUCAGAUUUGUCAGACUUCUUAUAGACAGCUCAGGACUCUAAGAGGAAAUGUUAUUGUGACUAAGGCAAAAACUGCCAGCUUUUGAUGAUAGCCUUAGAAGUCCUACAAUAUCAUUUCCACUGUGCUAUAUGGGUUGAAGUAGUCAAAAUCCCACCCAACUUCAAGAGGAGGGAUUGCAGACCCAAGAUUCACUAAGAAGAGGGUUGAAAACCUGGCAUUCAUGUUUCAAAACUUCCAUAGACUCUAAGAGAUCCUGGUGUUACAUUGGACAGCAGAUUUUCUGUAUUUACAUAAAUUUGGGGUAUUUUAUAAAUAUUCUGUAUUUUUAAGGUGAGUAAUAAAGAUAAGCUUUGACUAUAAUUUAAGAUACUUGCUACAUGUGGUGAUUAGGAAAUGUACCUCUGCAAUCUCUGACUCAAGGAGCAUAAUUGGCUAUGUAAGAACAAAAGCAAAUUAAAUGUAACUUAAUUCUCCAAGUUAAAAAUAAGCAUCCCCUGCAGGGAUGUUUCAACAUCCGCAAAUCUAUCAACAUGAUACAUCACAUUAACAAAAUGAAGAGCAAAAAUCACAUGAUCAUCUCAAUAGAUGCAGAGAAAGCAUUUGACAAGAUACAGCAUCCAUUUACGAUAAAAACUCUAAAUAAAAUGGGUAUAGAAGGGAAAUGCCUCAACAUAAUAAAGGCCAUAUAUGACAAACCCACAGCAAAUAUCAUUCUCCAUGGAGAAAUACUGAAAGCUAUCCCUCUAAGAACAGGAACAAAACAAGGAUGCCCACUGUCACGG